GGAUUAGUAGAUUGGUCAUGCCACUGGUAUGUACUUGUCUUACUGAUUCCUCCUUCCUGAUGAACCGUAAUGCCAUUAACUUGGUGUUGCGGGGAGACUGGACUGUUACUUUGAAAAAUUAGAGUGUUUAAAGCAGGCUAACGCUUGAAUACAUUAGCAUGGAAUAAUGAAAUAGGACGUUCGAUCCUAUUUUGCUGGUUUCUAGGAUUGACGUAAUGAU
rnacentral:rRNA from 1 species